rnacentral:rRNA from 1 species
GACGAACGCUGGCGGCGUGCUUAACACAUGCAAGUCGAACGAUGAAGAAGAGCUUGCUCUUCGGAUUAGUGGCGAACGGGUGAGUAACACGUGACUAACCUGCCCCUUUCUCUGGGAUAACGCUCCGAAAGGAGUGCUAAUACCGGAUACUCACAUCGAGGCACAUGCCUUGAUGUGGAAAGUUUUUCGGAAAGGGAUGGAGUCGCGGCCUAUCAGCUUGUUGGUGAGGUAACGGCUCACCAAGGCGACGACGGGUAGCCGGCCUGAGAGGGGGACCGGCCACACUGGGACUGAGACACGGCCCAGACUCCUACGGGAGGCAGCAGUGGGGAAUAGUGCACAAUGGGCGAAAGCCUGAUGCAGCGACGCCGCGUGAGGGAUGAAGGUCUUCGGAUUGUAAACCUCUUUCAGUAGGGACGAAGCGAAAGUGACGGUACCUAAAGAAGAAGCACCGGCUAACUACGUGCCAGCAGCCGCCGUAA